GACGAACGCUGGCGGCGUGCUUAACACAUGCAAGUCGAACGGAAAGGCCCUGCUUUUGUGGGGUGCUCGAGUGGCGAACGGGUGAGUAACACGUGAGUAACCUGCCCUUGACUUUGGGAUAACUUCAGGAAACUGGGGCUAAUACCGGAUAGGAGCUCCUGCUGCAUGGUGGGGGUUGGAAAGUUUCGGCGGUUGGGGAUGGACUCGCGGCUUAUCAGCUUGUUGGUGGGGUAGUGGCUUACCAAGGCUUUGACGGGUAGCCGGCCUGAGAGGGUGACCGGCCACAUUGGGACUGAGAUACGGCCCAGACUCCUACGGGAGGCAGCAGUGGGGAAUAUUGCACAAUGGGCGGAAGCCUGAUGCAGCAACGCCGCGUGCGGGAUGACGGCCUUCGGGUUGUAACCGCUUUCGCCUGUGACGAAGCGUGAGUGACGGUAAUGGGUAAAGAAGCACCGGCUAACUACG
rnacentral:rRNA from 1 species